CCCUUAGAUGUUCUGGGCUGCACGCGCGCUACACUGAAGCGUUCAACGAGUAUUCACCUUGCCCGGGAGGGUUGGGUAAUCUUUUGAAAACGCUUCGUGAUGGGGAUAGAUUAUUGCAAUUAUUAAUCUUCAACGAGGAAUUCCUAGUAAGCGCGAGUCAUCAGCUCGUGCUGAUUACGUCCCUGCCCUUUGUACACACCGCCCGUCGCACCUACCGAUUGAAUGGUCCGGUGAAAUCUUCGGAUCUGAGAGAUGUCUGAUUAAUUUCGGACGCCUUUUGGAAAAGUUGUUUAAACCUUACCAUUUAGAGGAAGGUGAAGUCGUANCA
rnacentral:rRNA from 1 species